rnacentral:rRNA from 1 species
AUUAAACUGAAGAGUUUGAUCCUGGCUCAGAUUGAACGCUGGCGGUAUGCUUAACACAUGCAAGUCGAACGGAAACGAUGGUAGCUUGCUACCAGGCGUCGAGUGGCGGACGGGUGAGUAACGCGUAGGAAUCUGCCUGAUAGUGGGGGAUAGCCCAGAGAAAUCUGGAUUAAUACCGCAUAAUCUCUAUGGAGUAAAGGAGCCCUCUUCUUGAAAGGUUUCGCUAUCAGAUGAGCCUGCGUAAGAUUAGCUUGUUGGUGAGGUAAAAGCUCACCAAGGCGACGAUCUUUAGCUGGUCUGAGAGGAUGAUCAGCCACACUGGAACUGAGACACGGUCCAGACUCCUACGGGAGGCAGCGGCGAGGAAUAUUGCACAAUGGGGGGAACCCUGAUGCAG